UCUGGUGACUAUAGCGGUGGGGAAACACCUCUUCCCAUUCCGAACAGAGAAGUUAAGCCCACCCGCGCUGAUGGUACUGUCCCGCUUUAAGGGAUGGGAGAGUAAGUCGUCACCAGCA
rnacentral:rRNA from 1 species